UACGUAGGGGGCAAGCGUUUGUCCGGAUUUAUUGGGCGUAAAGAGCGUGUAGGCGGCUUUGCAAGUCCGUUGUGAAAACUCGAGGCUUAACCUCGAGAUGUCGGCGGAAACCAUCUGGCUAGAGUCCGGAAGAGGAGAGUGGAAUUCCUGGUGUAGCGGUGAAAUGCGCAGAUAUCGGGAAGAACACCCGUGGCGAAGGCGGCUCUCUGGGACGGUACUGACGCUGAGACGCGAAAGCGUGGGGAGCGAACAGG
rnacentral:rRNA from 1 species